CGCAAGCCCCGAUUGAAACGGCAUCCUUUUCUGAGGAGGAACGACGAGGAAAAGAUAGAGUGGAAAGCGGGAUUAAGC
rnacentral:sRNA from 1 species